rnacentral:rRNA from 1 species
AUUGAACGCUGGCGGCAGGCCUAACACAUGCAAGUCGAGCGGAUGAAGGGAGCUUGCUCCUGGAUUCCGCGGCGGACGGGUGAGUAAUGCCUAGGAAUCUGCCUGGCAGUGGGGGAUAACGUCCGGAAACGGGCGCUAAUACCGCAUACGUCCUGAGGGAGAAAGUGGGGGAUCUUUGGACCUCACGGUAUCAGAUGAGCCUAGUUCGGAUUAGCUAGUUGGUGGGGUAAAGGCCUACCAAGGCGACGAUCCGUAACUGGACUGAGAGGAUGAUCAGUCACACUGGAACUGAGACACGGUCCAGACUCCUACGGGAGGCAGCAGUGGGGAAUAUUGGGCAAUGGGCGAAAGCCUGACCCAGCCAUGCCGCGUGUGUGAAGAAGGUCUUCGGAUCGUAAAGCACUUUUAGUUGGGAGGAAGGGCAGUAAGUUAAUACCUUGCUGUUUUGACGGUACCAACAGAAUAAGCACCGGCUAACUACGUG